CUCCCAAAGUGUUGGGAUUACAGGUGUGAGCCAGUGUGCCCAGCCCCUUAAAUUCUUUACAUAAAACUCUUUCACAUAUACCAUCUAUUUCUUGCUGGGACCCUGACUGAAACAAUAUUUAACUAUAUUUUCAUCUAGCUUCUUCUAGGAAAGCACUCUGAAGCCAAGUUGAAACAUUAUACUCUCAGGCAGUAGUAGAGAUCAACCUCUUAAAACCAAAUCCAUGGGCCCAGGAGUAUGGAAAAGAGUUCAAUAAAAUGGCCUUAACUGGUAUAAGAAGUUACAAUUGUUAAAAGGAGAUUCAGCUGUGAUAGCAAAAGAGAAAGAAAAUGAAAAAGUUGUCCUGGCUCAUCUCUGGAAAGACAUGAUAUUUCAUAACCUCAAGGUGUUUGCUUCUGACCUAUAACUUCAAUUAUAGACCAGGUUAUCCAAAAGUUCUCCUUAUUAACAAGAAUUAUCAGUCUGAUACGUGGUAAGUAAGUGGUUUCUAGGUAUUUAAUAUGCCUUUUCCUGAUAACUAAUUUGCCAGAUAGAUUUUCCAAAAAUGGUUGCAACAAUAUCUCCCAUCCCUGAUUCUCUUCUUAAAUAUGACUUUGACAACUUUUCUAUCAAGAGGUAGGGUCUAUAUCCCCUUCCCUUGAAACUAAGAGGGUCUGUGGUUAAGGCAGAACUGACACUCAGUGACUUUUGAGCUAAGUCAUAAAAGAUGAUACAACUUAUGGCUGGUUCUGACUCAAUCUUGGAACCCAGCCAUCAUGUUGUGAAGAAUCUCAGGACAUUUACAGAGGCUUCAUAGGUUUCUGGCAGACAGCUCCAGCUUACAACAGCAUCAACCAACAGACUUGUGAGUGAAGAUGGCUCCUGAAGGUAUCAGCCCCCCGCUGUCCAGUCACCUCCCAGCUUUUGAGUCUUUCCAGCCGAGACCCCAGACACCAAGGCACAGAGACAAACGUCUGCAUUGUAACCUGUCCAAAAUUCUGACCCACAGAGUUCUUGGCAUAAUAUAAUGAUUGUUUUAUGUCACUAAAGUUUGGAGUGGCUUGUCACAUUGCAAUAAAAAAUUGCAACAACGAAGGAGGUUGAUUAUCUUUUCAUGCUUAUUGAUCAUUUGCAUUUCUUCUGUGUACUGUCUAUUCACAAAUUUUGCCUGUUUGACUCUUGGGUUAUUUGUCUUGCUCAUAUUUUCUGCAUAUUAAUCCUACUUUUGUUACCUAUAUUGCAAAUGUAUUCAACCAGUUGCUUGCUAGGUAAUAGAGAAAUUUGAGUUUUAUGUAUCCGUUCAUUGUUUUCAUUUUUUAGUCUUGGG
rnacentral:lncRNA from 1 species